rnacentral:rRNA from 1 species
CCAGCAACUUGGAGGAAUGUAUAGUAAUAGCUAAUUGCAUCAAAAAUAUGAUGCAAGAUCGAUUUAUUGAAUAAAAUUCUGGGUAGAAUUAUGAUUAUGACAUUAUCUACCCAUAUGUCUUGACCAAAUUACGUGCCAGCAGUCGCGGUAAUACGUAGAAGACUAGUGUUAUUCAUCUUUAAUAGGUUUAAAGGGUACCUAGAUGGUAAAUCAAGCCCUAGACGGGACUAAUUUACUAGAGUUACUUAUGAGGGGGUUUUAAAGUACUAAUGGUGUAGAGAUGAAAUUUUGUAAUACCAUUUUUCGAAAGAAAAGUAAUGGCACAGGUAUAGGCGAAAGCAUCCCCUUAUGUGAUAACUGACAUUGAAGGACGAAGGCUUUGAGUCGCGAACAGGAUUAGAUACCCUGGUAGUCAAAGCAGAAAAUAAUGAGUGUCAUAGAUUAGAUAUUAAAGUUUAUUCUAUAAAUGAAAGUGUAAGCACUCCACCUCAAGAGUAAUUUGGCAACAUUGGAACUGAAAUCAUUAGACCGUUUCUGAAACCAGUAGUGAAGUAUGUUGUUUAAUUUGAUAAUCCGCAAAAAACCUUACCACAAUUUGAAUAUUUAUAUCAUUGAUAUAAUUACAAGCGUUGCACGGCUGUCUUCAGUUAAUGUCGUGAGAUUUUGGUUAGAUCCAUUAAAUUAACGCAAGCCCUUACUUUAUUUUAAAAUAAAGUCGUUCCCCACUAGAUUGGAUAAGAUAACAGGGAUUAAGACAAGUCAUCAUGGCCUGAAUAUUGUGGGCUAUAGACGUGCCACAUAAACCUUUACAAAAGGAUGUGAAAUUGUGAAAUUGAGCUAAU